AAUGAACGCUGGCGGCAGGCCUAACACAUGCAAGUCGAACGGAUCCUUCGGGAUUAGUGGCGGACGGGUGAGUAACGCGUGGGAACAUACCCUUUGGUACGGAAUAGCCUCGGGAAACUGGGAGUAAUACCGUAUGUGGUCGAGAGACGAAAGAUUUAUCGCCAAAGGAUUGGCCCGCGUUGGAUUAGGUAGUUGGUGGGGUAAUGGCCUACCAAGCCGACGAUCCAUAGCUGGUUUGAGAGGAUGAUCAGCCACACUGGGACUGGGACACGGCCCAGACUCCUACGGGAGGCAGCAGUGGGGAAUCUUAGACAAUGGGGGAAACCCUGAUCUAGCCAUGCCGCGUGAUCGAUGAAGGCCUUAGGGCUGUAAAGAUCUUUCAGGUGGGAAGAUAAUGACUGUACCACCAGAAGAAGCCCCGGCUAACUCCGUGCCAGCCGCCGCGGUAA
rnacentral:rRNA from 1 species